rnacentral:rRNA from 1 species
AUUGAACGCUGGCGGCAUGCCUUACACAUGCAAGUCGAACGGUAACGGGCCUUCGGUUGUCGACGAGCGGCGAACGGGUGCGUAAUACUUCGGAACGUGCCCGAUCGCGGGGGAUAAAGAGGCGAAAGCUUUGCUAAUACCGCAUACGAUCUAAGGUUGAAAGCAGGGGACUGCAAGGGUUUAAGCGGACGGUGCGGCCGAUGGUAGAUUAGGUAGUUGGUAGGGUAAAAGCUUACCAAGUAAACGCUCUGUAGCUGGUCUGAGAGGAUGAUCCGCCACACUGGAACUGAGACACGGCCCAGACUCCUACGGGAGGCAGCAGUGGGGAAUUUUGGACAAUGGGCGCAAGCCUGAUCCAGCCAUGCCGCGUGCGGGAUGAAGGCCUUCGGAUUGUAAACUGCUUUUAUACGGAACGAAAAACCGUCUAAUAAAACAGGAAGGUCAUGACGGUACCGUAAGAGAAAGCACCGGCUAACUACGUG